GAUGAGGUGGUUGAGUGGUUAAGGUGAUGGACUGCUAAUCCACUGGGCUCUGCACAUGUGGGUUCGAAUCCUAUUGUCAGUU
rfam:Ailuropoda melanoleuca scaffold910_12, whole genome shotgun sequence.